ensembl:lncRNA
CAUCUAUGCUUAUAACAUACGCUAUUGACUCCACCUGCUGCACCCAGGGGUUCACCUAUGCUUAUACGACGUCACAGGCCCCAGCCAAUCAGAUCGUGUUUAUGCUCACCUCUAAAAUCUCACCAUCAGUUUGGGGGACCUUGGCCUGAAAAACGUUGAAGACCCCUGACAUACGCUAUUGACUCCACCCGCUGCACCCAGGGGUUAAUUUGCACCCACUAAUGACUGUCACUAACACCGUCAGCUGUAACGAGGAAGGCUUCCCUCACCUUGCUGGUGUUGGUGACCUCCUCCGUCAGAAAGAUGAUGUCAUCCAGCAGCAGCUGACUGUCCUCCAUCACUCCGCCCACAGACACCAACUCCACACUGAGGUUGUGAUGGACGGACUGAUAGGCACCGAACAUGUUAUUAUUGAUCAAUAAUCAAUAAAUGCUCCUGACAGUGUGUACGUUUACACUGUGUGUGUUUACAGUGUGUGUGUUUACAGUGUGUGUGUUUACACUGUGUGUGUCUUUGCAGUGUGUAUACACUGGAUGUGUGUGUUUACACUGUGUGUGUUUACAGUGUGUGUGUGUACAGUGUGUGUGUUUACACUGGGUGUGUCUUUGCAGUGUGAUGUGUGUGUCUACCUUGUAGCGGUGAAGCAAAGCGUGUGCGGUUUCCAGGAGAGUGCGUGUUUGUCUGUUUUGUAGUUCAGUGUCGCUCAGCCGCGUUUGAGCAAGUUGCAGUGUUUCCAUAGCAACAUUGAGGGGCACGGAGAGGAGGCGGAGUCUGGCGUCUACUGCCGCCCUGCCGGACAGGAAGUCGUCCUGCAGCGAUCGGACGAGAGACUCGGAGAGGCUGCAGAGAGACGUCCUGCUGUUUUACUUGUACCCACGUAAACCGUUUAUCUUUUAUCUAACACACAAACACAAACCGGAGCUCCUGAUUGGCCGAGGCGUUGGUGCCCUUCAGGUCGAUGGCGCGGAUGCUUUCCAUCAUGGACUCCACCUCCUCCAGCAGAUGCAUCUGAUUGGCCGAAUCAAGCUCCUUGGCACCGGUUUGGUUCAAAAGCCCCGCCUUCCUCUGAAGCACUGGACCAAUGGGAUUUGAGAUUACUUUAUGAGUGCAAUUUGAUUUGUUAUUAAAUAAGCGCCUGCUGUGACGCUGCUAACGAGUUGAUGACAUCAUCGGUGAGGACCGUUCACAUCGUUUACCCUGGAUGUGGUGCUGAAGGCUGCUGAUGUCAUCCAGCAGCAGUGCACCCUGGGAAACGGUGCUGUUUACAGACACAUCCACUUUCUCCAGGUUGUUGGACAGGCGCGGGACCUGGCCAAUCAGGAGACAGGAAAACUUUUCUUUAGUCAACGCCAACAAUUCUCAAAUCCUAAAACUAAUUAAUAUGUUAGAAUGAUGUCAUAUUAUGUUCUAUAUAUUUAACACGUCAUUAUCGGAGUUUAUUAUCUGGACACCUGCUGCAGCAGCGCGUUGAUGUCGGAGGUCAAAUGAUUGAGCUCGUCUUCCACUGUGAACAGCCGCAGAGCAACGGAGGCGUUUUCUGAGAGGGCCGCCUGCAGGAACACGCAGCAGGUCACACUUACUCUGCGUGUUGAUGGACAUCAGCCAUGUGAUCGGCGUGUGCUCCUACCUGGACGGCUCUGGUCCGGUUUGCCAGCAGAACCAGCCGGCGGUAUGGCGCCAUGCCAAUGGCGCUCAUGUUGACGGACAGGAAGUGGGUUUCUUCAAGGUCGUCCAACAGAACACCGACGCACUCAUCGUCGCACGCUGCCGCCACAAAGACCCCCCAAAGGUCAUCUCAGAUAACACGUGACCACACGUGUGUGCGCGCGUGUGUGUGUGUGUAGGUACUCACACACACAUUCUCCUCCCUGCAGGGCGUGUCUUUCCUCGCACCGGUCACAUGACUGACCUUUAACCCCAGCCUUGCACUCACACUGUCCACUCAGUGGGUCGCACAGCGGGCGCAGCGAGCCCCACCCACUGCAGCCGCAGGGCGCACAGGACCCGCCCACCACCACCGGGUUACCGUAGUAACCCUCCGAACACCUGCAGGACGACAGCAGCAGGUGAACAGCAGCUCACGGCUGAUUGGCUGAGCUUCAGGGGGUCAGGGGUCAAAGGUGGAGGCUCACCUCUCGCAGUGUCUCCCCUCAUACCCCUUCUGACAGGCGGUGCAGCGGAAUUCACCGCCUCCACCCUCUGACGCACAGGUGGGACUGAAACUACACGCACACAGUCACAGUCACUGGGAUGAAGAUAGAAGAGCGAAACCGAAGCGGCAGCGCGGCCUCACCUGUUGUCCACCAGGGGGCAGGCACACAGCGAGCAGUCGCUGAUGGAGCCGCUGAUGUUCCCAUAAUGCCCCGGGGCACACUGCGAGCAGCUGCGCCCACUGGUGUGAUGCUGACAGUCCUUGACAAGAAAUAGAAACAGCUUUCUACUUAUUUCUAUCUCUGCUUUCAUCGGAGUGUGCUAGCGUAAGUUAACAUGUCGCUAUGUGUUAGCAUGUUUCACUGCGUACUAGCAUGUGUUAGCCAUGGUUCAUGUAUCUACCAGACAGGCUCCGGUCUCCGCGUCACAACUCUCGCUGUGGUUGUUGCAGCGGCAUCGAACACACGGACGAACAAACAGCGACUUCUGCUUCUUAGUCGGUAGCUCAGACAGAGGCUGACGGAAAAACCCGGAAGCACAGUCCUGCAGACAGACGGGUCAGAGAGAGACAGACAGAAACGUUGGAGAGAGAGAGGCGGAGGCGGUCUAUGGUUGCCAUGGUGACAGGUACCUGACAGGACAGCCCGGCGUAUCCAGGUGGACAAAUGCAGGACUCGAUCAGCGUGGCCACGUUUCCCUCAUCUAGCUCCGCCUCCACCGCCGUCUCCAUGGUGAUGUUAGAGAUCCUUACAAUGUGACAGGAAGUGACACCAUCACACUGAGUGUGUGUCUGUGUGUGUUUGUGUGUGUAUGUGAGUGUGUGUACCUGCUCUGCUGCAGUCGGGUCCCGUAUGACGCUUUGAUGAUGACGUACUCAACGUCGCCGAGGACCGACAUGAAGUCAUCGCGACUCACCGGCUUCUCCGACACCGAGUUAAAGUACUUCCACUUGUGCUGCGACACACACACACACACACACACACACACACACACUAAAGUGCUGCAGGUUUUUUCAUAUCCACUUUCCUGGUGUCCCAUGAUGCCUUGCAGCGGUACCUCUGUCAUCCGGAUGUCGUGCUGUGUCCUGAUGCCGUUGCUAGGAGCGACCAUGUCAGCAUAUAUCACAUGCUUCCUCACGGUCCCGCCCCUCAUUAGCACCUGAGGUUCCUGAUUGGACAGCCCCGAGCCGUCCUCGGCGUAGAAGGUGACGAUGUAAGACAGCAGACCGCCGUACGACAGCAGCUAAAGUACACACGAGAGUACAAACACAAGUAAAGUACACUUAAGUACUGUUAUGUACAUGAAGAAGUACACAGUAAACAAGGCCCACACGGUGUAGUUGUACCUGAUGGCCUUGGUACUGGGGGGGCAGUCUCCAGUACAGCGGGCCGAUUGGCCGGCUGCUGUCCAGGUGACGGGUGUCGAGCAGCGACUCGCCGCCCUGUUGGCGGACUCCAGACACGACACCCUGCAGGUUGGCCUGGCUGACCAACGAGAGGACAGCGGGGGCGGGACCCGCGGUGAUCUGAGAAGGGAGAGACGCUGGCUUCAGGUACACACGCUGUAUUCACGCUGGAUGUACUCCACUAGUACACGUGUGUACUUAUCCUCACCGGUACUCGCUGCAGGCCUCCCUGCUCCUCGCAGUCGGAGCUGACACCCGAGCAGAAGCACCGCGAGCAGCCGUCAGGACUCAGAGCCGACAGAGCAAACCAGCCGGACACGCACUCCUCACAGCGCCGCCCAGACACGCCCACCUGGACACCGAGACACACCCGUCACUCUCACACACACACCUGCACACACACCUGCACACACACACACACACACACACACGCACGGCUCGCGGUACCUUGCACACACACUUUCCGGCGCGCUGACAGUCACACACUCCCAGCGUGGCGUUGCAGAACUCUUCGUUGGAUCCUGUCAGGUCGCAGCCGCAUGCUGGGCAUGCUGGGUAACCGUGGUGACCAAGGGCACAGCGGUCACAUGAUCGGCCAGAGAAGCCCUCUUUGCACGGACACUGCCCAUUGGUCAGCUGACACUGAGGGGCGGAGCUUCCAGCCACCGUGCAGCCGCACGGCUGAAGAGACACCAGGAUGUUAGUGUAUCAAUCCACAACCCUGUGUGUGUAUUCAUGUACAUGGGUGUGUAUCUUUGUGUACAUGUGUACCUUGCAACCUGUGGUGGGGUCAUGACCCCAGUAACCGGCCUCACACCUGUCACAAGUGUCUCCCUCUGUGUGUGGCGGGCAGAUGCACGCGCCGUCCUCUGGAUCACAGUUCCCUCCAGUGUGAUCACAGUUGCAUGCUGGGAGAAAAGAUAACAGCCAAUUAAAGGCAACCAAACGUCAGAGUGAGACCUUGAUAAUCUCUGUUUAGCUACCUGUGCAGCCGUUGGCAUGGAAACCAUAGUAACCAUGGCUACAGCGGUCACACGUAUCUCCAGACACACCCUCCACGCACUGGCAACGCCCAUUCUCAUCACAUGACUCAGAGAGAGAUCCUAAUUGGUUGCAGCCACAGGCGCGACAUCCCUCCGGACUUUGCAGCCCGAAGAACCCAGACUGAAAAAAGAGAUAAUAAGAUCGGUGACGAGGCGUGAUCAUCAGAUGAUGAUGGUGGUACACGCGUGUUCCUGUCUCACCUGACAGCGGUCACACGCGAGUCCCGUCACGUUUUCUCUACAGAAACAACGUCCUGUUGUGGCAUCACACACACUGGAGAGGGCGCCGCUGACAUCACAGCCACACUCUGACACACAGAGAGACACUUAGAAACUAUAACACUUCAUCAGUCAACUAAAUACAUUAAAACAAUAUUAUCUUCUGUGUUUAUUGUUAAAAACCUCAGUCUUGUAAGAGCAAAACAAAGAGGUCAGAGGUCAAAGCUGAUCUGGAUUAGAAAAGAUCAACAUUCCUGUGCGUGAAUGUGAGUCUGUGUGUGUGUGUCUCACCCCGACAGUCCUUUGCGCCCACGGCGUCUCCAUAGUAACCGGGCCGACAGACCUCGCAGUGCCUCCCGCCGGUGUUGCCCAGACAUCGCAGACACUCCCCGGUGACAGUGUCACAGUGCCCCGCCCUGCCGAGGUCCACGUUGCCAUUGCACUCGCAGCGGACGCAGGCCCCGCCCACCACCUGCGGGUUACCGUGAAAACCGCUGGCACACCUGCAGACACACGCACAGAGGGACGGGUGUUAGGUGUAGCCCGCUGCCUCCCCACUGGUUGGAUGGGCGCAGGCCCGCGUCGUCACCUCUCACAGGUGCGCCCGGCGUAUCCGUCCCGACAGCGGUCACAGGACACCUGGCCGGAGGCGUCCAGUGCGCACGUGGGGCUGAAGCUGUUGGACAGCUCGGUCAGAGGACACGGACACAGGCGACAGUCGCCCGGCGUGCCCUCGGUGGCGUCGCCGUAGAAACCGGGUAGGCAGCGGUCACACUGGGGGCCCGUGGUGUUGUGGGUGCACCCCUGAGGACGGACAGAGGCAGGUCACUCAGGUGUGUCUCAGGAUGAGUUCUGGCUCUUCUCAUCGGUAGUUCAGAACUCACCAAACAAACGCCGUCGGUGUCACAGUCGUACGCGUGGUCGUUACACUCGCACUGCAUGCAGUUCCCUCCGAACAAGACUCCGCCCACUCUGUAGAACCCCGGGAGACACGACUACGCACACAGUACACAAGGUGACACAGAGUACACAAGGUGACAUAGAUGUCACACAAAGUACAUGAAAGCGAGUACUCACCUCACACGAAGUACCGCUGUAACCAUACGGACAUUCACACGUCUCCACGGCAACCGCCUGACGACCAGAAACUGCACUAGAGUCAGCAAAGUCCAUGGACAUUGAGCUGAGACUGAAAGACAGACAAGCAGAGAGUGAGACAGGGAGAAAGUGAGACGGGCAGAGACAUAAGUUUUAUCUCCUGAGCAUCUUCACGUGGUCUCUCGUCUCUCUGGGUUAUCAUGGCAACGGAGAGGCUCUCACCGUACAGGCCUUUCGGUGGAGGCGUUCAGGUGAACCCUGACCGUCAGUGAUGUCACGUGCGCCAUGACGGAGAGCAGAUCGUCGCGGGCGACGUGAGCGCCCGACUGGACGUCCACAAACCUCUGCUCGGCCAUCGUCACGGCAACAGAGCGUUCAGCCAGAUCCGAGAAGAAGAGGACAACGGGAGGAGAGAGGCGAAGAGCUCGGCCGUUUCCCUGGAGACGACGGGGUUGGAGGGGUCGUUUAGUGUAGACGCCACUCUCUAUGUUCAUGUUCAAUAUGUUAAGAAACGUUAAUGGAAACUGUCGUUUUUCCUCACCUCGAUGAUGAUGUCAGAGCGGACAGGCAGAGGAUGAUCCUCGUUGUCCAACGGGACGUCAUAGACCAACGAGUAGUUCAGGGAGCCUCUGUAGGAAACCAGCUGGUGACAGACAGGCACACAGACCACAGAUCAUCUCGCUGUUGACUGACUGAUGGUUAAUGACCAAAUAUGGAAAUGGCGGCUCACCUUGUUUCCGAGAAAACGGUCGGGCGCCGCCCACGACAGCACCUGUUGGUGGGCGUGGCCAGAAGCGUUGUUGGAGAUGGGGAGGUCGUUGGUGUAGAUGACUGGGGGAGUGUGGAGGGACUGAGAGGGGCGAAGCGAAGCGCUUGUAUGAAACACCUGAAAAAGAAAAAGAAAUACCAUGAAGUGCUGGCGUGUUACCUGAGUAAGAGGUGUGUUGGUGCCGGGUGCAGGUGAGUCUCUGCAUGUUACCUGAGCUCUGGACCAGGUGGAGCUCUCACACACGUCAGACACACCGAAGCAGAAACAGUCGGUGCAGCCCAGCUCGUGACUCCCCUGCAGGUUGUAGAAACCUGGUUUACACAGAUCACAGUGAGCCCCCAUCACAUUCACCUGGGGAGGAGAGGACAGGUGAGACGUCAUAAAACACCCUGUAAGGGGUGACAACAGACAGGGGUCAGGUCUCAGGUAGCCCUGCGACUGUGAGUGGCCAUGUGACCAAGGACAAGGUGAGGAAUCAGGUGACCCUGGUACGGUGAGGAGACCCAGGUACUGGGAAGUCUCAGGUAUGACAUCAUCAGAGCGCUCACCUUGCAGGUACAGUUGCUGCAGGGGUCUGUGUUGACGCUGCCGGACAGGUUGCACUCACAUGGAGCACACCGAGGGAAGUCUCUGUAUCCAAAGGCACAGCGAUCGCACUGCCGACCCGUGAAGCCCUGCUGACACACACACUGCCCCGCAGACACACCUGUACACACAACACACUGCAAUGACGUCAUGAUACUCAAAACAACAGCACCACCAACAACAACAGUAGUAGUAGCAGUGUUGAAACAGAGUAACAGUGACCUGUCCGGGUGUCGUCUCCGCUGCAGACUGAAGACUUUGAUCCCCUCAGAUCACAGUUACACGGGACACAAGGGGAGUCUGAAUAUGGAGAAACCUACACACAAACGCACAAACACACACACAUUUAGUGAAAAAUGUUUUAUAUCAGUGGGUCUGUAGUAUUACUGCUAGUAUUUGCCAGUACCUCAGUAGGUCUGUAGAACCCGGCAGCGCAGGUCUCACAGUUGAUACCGGCGGUGUUUUGUUGACAGUCCAAACAGACUCCGCCUCCCUGACGAACGCCGUGAGUGUUUGUACUCAAAGAGAGUUGUGAGACGGUCUGAUUGUAGAAGCAGUCCUCUGCUUUGUUGUGACAGUUACACUCUGAGAGACAGACAGGUAGAGACACAGACAGGUGUUCCUAAACAGGUGGAGCCACAGUCAGAAUGUAAAAAGGAUUUUCUAAAUUUCCAAUCUUCUUACUCUCACAGGUGUUUCCCUCGGAGACGGUCCCAGGUUGCCAUGGCUGCUGGUGGUAACCGGGGCAACAUUGGUCACAGCUCUCUCCACAGGUGUUGUGUUCACACACACACUUUAACUUCUGUUCACACGCACACACACAGGUUAGAAGAGGUGUACAGCUAAACAAGUACACAGGUAACUGGUAAAGAGGUGACCCAAUGUACAGGUAGAACAGGUUACCUUGGUAACGAGGUCCAGCGGGCAGCUCUGGGCGUGGCCGUAACAGAUGCACAUCCCCCCCACUGAGAUGUCUUUGAUGGAGUAGUAGUACUGGGAGACAGAAUUAUUAUUUAUAGAUAUAUUAGAACUCAUUGAAACAUGUUGACCCUGUAGCACAUUGUCUCACCCUCCGUGUGACGAUGGGGUCGAUCUCUCGGGGGUCACGGGCGCUCAGCAUCAUCAGGUCGGCGUGAGCGUUCUGAUUCGCUGAAGCCGUAGUCUGAGGUACGAGCUGACGUGAAGUUCAGCAGUCAGAGGUCAGGUCAUCGGCUCCAGGUCGGCUGUUAAUCAGGGAGGUGUGAAUCUGGGACACCGGGACGGGUACAGAGAGACAGGUCAGAGGGAGACAGCUGCAUAGAGGGCGCCG